CACGUAGGGCGCAAGCGUUGUCCGGAAUUAUUGGGCGUAAAGAGCUCGUAGGCGGUUUGUCGCGUCGUCCGUGAAAACUUGGGGCUCAACCCCCAAGCUUGCGGGCGAUACGGGCAGACUUGAGUACUGCAGGGGAGACUGGAAUUCCUGGUGUAGCGGUGGAAUGCGCAGAUAUCAGGAGGAACACCGGUGGCGAAGGCGGGUCUCUGGGCAGUAACUGACGCUGAGGAGCGAAAGCGUGGGGAGCGAACAGG
rnacentral:rRNA from 1 species